AAUCCUGGCUCAGGAUGAACGCUGGCGGCGUGCCUAACACAUGCAAGUCGAGCGAUUCUCUUCGGAGAAGAGCGGCGGACGGGUGAGUAACGCGUGGGUAACCUGCCCUAUACACACGGAUAACAUACCGAAAGGUAUGCUAAUACGGGAUAACAUAAGAGAUUCGCAUGGAUUUCUUAUCAAAGCUGCGGCGGUAUAGGAUGGACCCGCGUCUGAUUAGCUAGUUGGUGAGGUAACGGCUU
rnacentral:rRNA from 1 species